CCUACGGGCGGCAGCAGUGAGGAAUAUUGGUCAAUGGGCGCGAGCCUGAACCAGCCAAGUCGCGUGAAGGAUGACGGCCCUACGGGUUGUAAACUUCUUUUGUAAAGGAGUAAAGUGAGGCACGUGUGCCUUAUUGAGCGUACUUUAAGAACAAGCAUCGGCUAACUCCGUGCCAGCAGCCGCGGUAAUACGGAGGAUCCGAGCGUUAUCCGGAUUUAUUGGGGUUAAAGGGAGCGUAGGUGGGUAGUUAAGUCUGUUGUGAAAAUUCGCGGCUCAAACGUCAGAUUGCAUUUGAUACUGGCAGUCUUGAGUGCGGGUGAGGUAGGCGGAAUGCGUGGUGUAGCGGUGAAAUGCUUAGAUAUCACGAAGAACUCCGAUUGCGAAGGCAGCUUACUGGACAGCAACUGACGCUGAUGCUCGAAAGUGUGGGUAUCAAACAGGAUUAGAUACCCGUGUAGUC
rnacentral:rRNA from 1 species